rnacentral:rRNA from 1 species
UCGAGGAUCUUUCGCAAUGCCCGAAAGGGUGACGAAGCGACGCCGCGUGUGGGAAGAAGGCCUUCGGGUUGUAAACCGCUGUUAGGAGUUAAGAAAUGUAAGGGUGCUCAUACCAUCCUUAUUGACAAAGCU